GGGAUUGUGGCUCAGUGGUAGAUCGCUCACCUAGCACGUGUGAGGCCCUGGGUUUGAUCCUCAGCAUCACA
rnacentral:tRNA from 1 species